GACGAACGCUGGCGGCGUGCUUAACACAUGCAAGUCGAACGGAAAGGCCCUGCUUUUUUGGGGUGCUCGAGUGGCGAACGGGUGAGUAACACGUGAGUAACCUGCCCUUGACUUUGGGAUAACUUCAGGAAACUGGAGCUAAUACCGGAUAGGAGCUCCUGCUGCAUGGUGGGGGUUGGAAAGUUUCGGCGGUUGGGGAUGGACUCGCGGCUUACCAGCUUGUUGGUGGGGUAGUGGCUUACCAAGGCUUUGACGGGUAGCCGGCCUGAGAGGGUGACCGGCCACAUUGGGACUGAGAUACGGCCCAGACUCCUACGGGAGGCAGCAGUGGGGAAUAUUGCACAAUGGGCGGAAGCCUGAUGCAGCAACGCCGCGUGCGGGAUGACGGCCUUCGGGUUGUAAACCGCUUUCGCCUGUGACGAAGCGUGAGUGACGGUAAUGGGUAAAGAAGCACCGGCUAACUACGUG
rnacentral:rRNA from 1 species